UGGCCCUGCAGUACCCAUGGCGACACACCACGGUGCUGAAUUUGGUGGGAUGGAGGGUGCAGUGUGAUAUUUGGUCCCCACUCUCUCGCAAGAUCGCCGAGGUCCAUUACUUUCUGCUGAGACGUUCCAGUUGCUAAGUUCAGUGAGAGGACCAUGCCCACGAUGCUACUGCCUCUACCGCCUGGGCCCCUCAAUGACAGGCACACCUGGGAGAAUGAAGCCGAUCCAGAACCUGAGCCUGGGCAAGCCCAGCCUGAUCGGCAGAUCCGUGAGUGAGAAAUAAACACUUGUUUUGUAAGUCCCUGGGA